AUAUGCAAUAUGAUAGCUUUAUUUGUUAGAUAGACGUUCUUUAUUUGCUUAUUGUUUUUAUAUGAAUUCCAGUGUUUCAAAUGAUUUGUACUCUCUACCUCAUCUCUUGAUUUUUAGAGAAAUAGGUAAAAAGUUCCAUAGAAUUCUCCCCACUUACCGUUUAAUCAAUAGUGCCAUAGAACUCUCAAUUUUUGCAAACUGAAAUUCAUUCACCUAUGGUAGAGUGAGUGUUACUAUGUCAUGAUUAUGUAACUAGCAUUGCUUGCUGGCAGAUUACAUAAUGUGUGUGAUGCUUCUUUGGCUCGUGAUUUUUUAACUUUGUUGAGAAUAAUUUGAAGAGGAAAAAAAGGUAAAUGAAAGCAGCACUGCCUAAAAAGUUUCUUUUCCCUCUUUGGAACAUGCUUUGUGAGAAAAUGAACGCAGAAAUGACAUAUUCAGUUUUGAUUAAGCCCAAGAAGUGAACCUGGAAACUGUUUUUGUAAACCUGAUCAUCUACUUUAGGAUCCGGGGGAUAAUGGGUGCUGUACUGCUCUAGGAGCAUUACCUUUUCCACUGGGGCUAUACUACUGCUUAAAGAAUGGUAAAUUUCAGCAUUUGCAAAUUGCUAACUCUCACUUAUGCUAUUAUGUAGGCGAAGGGAGAUAAGGACAUAUGGUGAUGUGAAGUCUGUGCAUCAAGGUUUAGCUUUAUGGUAACAGUGUUGGACAGGAUUAGCAGCUUUGUGGUGAUAGACUAUUUAAUUGCCCUUCUUAUAGCCUGUUUGGCCAAGCUUUUUUCUAGUCCAAAAGUAUUUUUUUUCUAAAUUUGAGGUGUUUGGCCAAGCUUUCUGAGAAGCAGAAAAAGAAGCAAAAGCACUUUUUGAGAAGCAGAAAAAAAGUAGCUUCUCUCCAGAAGCAAAAAUAGUUUUGACUUUUCUUCUUACCAAAAAUACCCUUAGCAAAAUGUAGUAUAUUCCAAAGUAACCUUACUUAUUCUAAACCUAAUACUUAGGAUUUUAAUCUAUAAAUAUUUUUUCUUAUUUUUAGGGUAGCUUUCUAAUAUAUAGUGACUUCUGGGGUGAAUGCUUUUAUAUUUGUUGAAUAAUUUUUUGAUAUAUUUAAAUCAUCUUGAAAGAAUUAAAGUACUUUUUCAUUUUAUUUUCAUAUUUUACUUAAAUAAAAUAAAAAAACAUAAUUAUUAUCUUUCAUAAUAAAAUUUUGAAAUUAUUUAUUUACUUACAUAAUAUUAACUAUUAAGUAAAUCUCUUCAUGUCCAAAUUCGUAAUUUGAUACUUAAAAGCAUUUUUUAAAAAUUUUGGCCAAACACAAAUUAUUAUUUAAAAGUGUUUUUCAUAUUGAUUAGCUAAGCACAAACUGCUUUUCUCCAUAAAUACUUUUUCGAAAAGUAUUUUUGGAAAAAAAGCUUCUUACAAUAAGUUGAUUUUUUCAGCUUGGCCAACCAGGCUAUUAAGUUUUUGGCCAUGUUAAAGUUAUGUCUUAGGAUGUUAUAACUAACUAAAGAUUUGGUUGUUUAAGGUGGAAGAAUUGCUCCUUUUAAUUUUC
rnacentral:lncRNA from 1 species